AUUCUAAAGAAAUUAUUUAUAUAUUUUUUUUUGCCUUUUGUUUUAACUUGACGCAAAUGGUUUUUUUUAUAUUGUUAUAAACGUAAAUUCAUAAAUAUGAGAACAUGAUGUAGAAUUUGCUUGUAACUUUUCUGUCAAGAGUGGGUGAAAUGGUAUCAUUUAUUAUUGCCUGAUAACAUAUUUUUAAACAUUGUAAUGUAUUGUUUAUGAAUUUAUUUAUUGUAUUGUCAACAAUGUAUAAUUUCAUAUUGAAAUCUCAA
rnacentral:lncRNA from 1 species